rnacentral:tRNA from 1 species
GCUGUUUUGGCUCAGUGGAUAGAGCGUCAGCCUGCAACCUGAAGGGCCCCAAGUUCGAUUCCGGUCAACAGCA